GCUUCGAUAGUAUAAUGGUUAGUACAACGGUCUCAUAACAUGACCAGGCGUCAAACGUCUAGGAAAUCCGUAAAUCUGAGUUCGAUUCUCAGUCGAAGCA